rnacentral:tmRNA from 1 species
GGGGAUGUAAUGGUUUCGACAGGAGUAUAUGUGCAUAGAUGGCAGGUCGGUGCUUACGUUACAAGCAAAAAACAAUAAAUGCAAAUAAAAUUAAAAAUGUAUUCGCUAACAUGUUCGGUGGAAACCGUGCUGUAGCUUUUGCCUAAUAAUACAAGGGAAUACAGCUUUCUUCUAUUCUUAUCUACGGAAUAGUUUGAGGGUUCAUUUUUGUAGAUUAUGUUUGUUCUUUGUCUAGGGAAUGAAAUGAAAUUUUAAGACUUAGUAUAUUUAUUUGGUCGUUAACUACUGUAUAGAUAUAUGAAGCUUUAUUAGUUAACUAAACCUGUAGAGGUUUAUGUGACAUUGCUUUUGGACAGGAGUUCGAUUCUCCUCAUCUCCACCA